rnacentral:rRNA from 1 species
UCGAGCGGACAGAAGGGAGCUUGCUCCCGGAUGUUAGCGGCGGACGGGUGAGUAACACGUGGGUAACCCUGCCUGUAAGACUGGGAUAACUCCGGGAAACCGGAGCUAAUACCGGAUAGUUCCUUGAACCGCAUGGUUCAAGGAUGAAAGACGGUUUCGGCUGUCACUUACAGAUGGACCCGCGGCGCAUUAGCUAGUUGGUGAGGUAACGGCUCACCAAGGCGACGAUGCGUAGCCGACCUGAGUAGGGUGAUCGGCCACACUGGGACUGAGACACGGCCCAGACUCCUACGGGAGGCAGCAGUAGGGAAUCUUCCGCAAUGGACGAAAGUCUGACGGAGCAACGCCGCGUGAGUGAUGAAGGUUUUCGGAUCGUAAAGCUCUGUUGUUAGGGAAGAACAAGUGCAAGAGUAACUGCUUGCACCUUGACGGUACCUAACCAGAAAGCCACGGCUAACUACAUGCCAGCAGCCGCGGUAAUACGUAUGUGGCAAGCGUUGUCCGGAAUUAUUGGGCGUAAAGGGCUCGCAGGCGGUUUCUUAAGUCUGAUGUGAAAGCCCCCGGCUCAACCGGGGAGGGUCAUUGGAAA